rnacentral:lncRNA from 1 species
UAGUAGAUUAAUUAUUUCAAUAAAACAAUAAAAUUUCUAUGAGAGGGUAAAUGGCAUAACAAUACACUCCUUCUCAAGUGCAGAACUUGAAAACACCAUUCCCAAGCAGAAUAUAAAUGCAUUUUUUGGUGUAUUAUUCUCUGAUAUUUCCUCUUUUGAAUAGCAGAGAAAGAAGUAUGUGUGUGGCACUGUGGUUAAAUAUGGAAUGCAGGCUCUAAAGGAUUCCUUUUCCUCUGAAAGUCUUAACAGGCGCCUCACCUUUCUCUGGUUUUCCUUCUAGUCUCAUGCAAAGACUAAACAACAACAAUCAACUCGAUAAAAUAGUGUCCAUAGGCCAGCUUAGGUUAGGCUGGUUGCAUGGAAAGAAUGUGACUGGGAAUUCAUAUCCUAGAGUCAAGCCAGAAACUUAAUGAUUAAACAAAUCACUUCCUUGAACGCAGUCUUUUUCCAAGGUUCUGUUAGCCAUACUCUCAGGAAGCUGUGAAGUAGGGAGAUCUACGUGGGGGUCUCUUUGUACUGAGACUCAUCAGCAUCUCGGAAAGCAGAAGGGCCUGAAUUAUUGCAGGCACAAGUGGGAGGCUGGGACAGCAUUUCUGACUUCCUGGGAGAAGAUGUCGAAGACACAGGAGAAGACAAGCCAGGGAGAGGGGCUUAGAGCAGAUUCUCCCUUGCAGCCUCAGAAGGAAUCAGUCCUGGUCACACCUUGAUCUCAGACUUCUGGCCUCCAGAAUGGGGACUUAAAACCAACAUCCCACACUCAUAAUGAAAACCUGGCAGGAGGCAGAACAGGAUUGGAGCUGCUUCAAAGCCUUAGGUCCAGAGAACUCAUCACCUAUGCAGAUCCUCAAUAAGACUCAAAGCUGAUUCCGCCUCAGAAACCAUGGAGACCCAAAGCCAAAUUCAAAGUGCUGAAAGUUAACUCAUCCAAUCAGUCAACUCUUGUACAGACCUCCUUUUUUUUUGUUCUUGGAGUUUGUUUUAUUCUAAUAAAGGUGUUUUAUAUUGUUGUUGUAUUAUUCUUAAAUACCAUAUUUUAGUUGCUAUUAUAAAUGGUACUUCUAUUGCCGUUUUGUCUAACAUUUUCUGGUGGUCAAAUUUCUAGCUAGUGUGGAAGAACACUGAUGGUUUUUACUUAUUGAUUUUCUCUCUGGCAAUCUCACUAAACCUUAUGAUAAGUAAUAAACCUUAUGAUAGUAGAAAAGGUUGAUAUGAUAUGAUAGUAGUAAUCCUCUGGAUUACCCAUCCCCUCUUGAUAAUCUCUGUUGAAAUAAUCACAUUAUGUGCAACUAAUGACAAUGUCACUGCUCUUAUAGUCUCUAUGUGCAUUUCUUUUUCUUGUCUUACUGCUUUGACUCAUUCAGUUGACUGCCAUUCACAGAACAGAUGUGGAACGGUUGUUUUCGUUAUCAUGUGCCUAAAAAGAAUGUGAUUAAAAUUUGCCAGUUCAAUAUAAUAUUGGAUGUAGGGUUUUAAUAAAUAACUUUCAACAAACUGCAAGAGUCAUCUUCCCUUUCUAGUAUUCUAAUGGCACUGGUUUUUUAAAAAUAAUAAAUUGGUAUUGAAGUUGUCUUAUGCUUUUUUCUGUAUCCAUUUCCAUUAAGAUAAUUAUUUGGAUUUUUUCUACUUUUCAUUAUAUGAUAUAUUGAAUAAUUAUAUUUUCUGAGGCUGAACUCUCCUUGAAUCUCUGUUACAAAUGCUGCUUGUCAUGAGAUACUAUUUUUCAUGCUGUCGUUAAAUUAGUAAAUUAAUUUUUAUUUAGGAUCUUAAAUCUACAUAUGUAAGUAAAACU